ACUGGCGGGGUUCAAGAAUCUUUUCAGGUAGAUCCUUAUGCUUCCCUACUGGAUUCAUUCAGGGUCAGGGACACCAGGCCUCACAGCUAACAGCUUCCCUCACUAUUGAUGACUCAGAAAGGGAGCAGGUCCCUGGGCUGAUCCCCGGGAACCUGGGAGCUGCCCAAGUGGUCCGCUCUAGGGCAGUUGUUGCAAACUUCAGCCACCAGAUGGCAGAGGAGAACUCAGUGUGGCUGAGAUGGUCAGCGCUGUGUCCACAUAGCCCAAGGUCUCUGGCUGCUCCAAAGCAGGAUUUAUUGCCUUGAGAUGGUGAUGCUGUGUGGAUAAGAAAAAACGCUUUCCUGAGGAACCGCAGAGUGGCCCGGGGAGCCCAAUUGCCUUGGUGGGAGGCCUGACCUCACUUCCUCCACUGCGGUAAUUAAUGGGACAGAAGAGCAGCCUCCGAGAGCCAGGUCCCCAACAGCAGCACACACUCACAGUGCAUUAUUUCUGUGUAAAGGGCCCUCGGGGCCGUCACACUUGCAGGUCAGCGGGCACAGAGGCCACUCUGGCUCGCUCAGUAUUUACUGAGAAAACAUCACAUGUCUUCUCAUCUGUUCUUACACUUAAUAUUUGACACUAGUCCAUACAAAAA